AAUCUUCACUUCUGCCUGCCCAAGGACUCCCACAGCUGCCGCAUCCCCUGCUUCUGGCCAGCCGAGCUGCCAGUGCAGUCUCUGUCUCUCUCUCCAGGGGGGCUGCCCAGACAUCUCAAGUCUCUGCCACCCCUGCACGGUCCAACAACCUCCACCCCUGCACCCCCUGGGGCUCCCGGCCUCCUCCCUGUCAUGGCCUCCCCCUCCCCCACCCAGACGCAGCUGGGCAGGGGAGAGGUCCAGACUCCACUCACCAACGCCGGAUUCCCAAAGAGGAAGUUCUCUGGGAAUCUCCUGCUUUUAACCCCUGUGUGUUCUCAGAGGCGUAUCCAAACCUCAGUGGCCAGCACCAGAUGCCAAUUUUGAAUUUGGCUACUGAUUGGUCUGACUUAGACUCUUCCAGAAACACACUUCCGGGCCAAACCACGACAGAUUGGAAGGGGGUGCCACUGAUACACAGCGUGGUUUGCUGGGGCUGCUGUGGGCAGGCAGGCAGGAAGAGCUCCUGCUGUGGCAAGGAUGCCAGCAGAAAAAAAGAGAAAAAAAAAGAAAAGAAAAACAAAAAAGGACCCAAGGAAAAAUUGCGUGCAAGGCUGUUUUAAAACUUACACGUCUUCAGCCAGAUGUGGGUCAAAGGUCUGCUGGAGGUGGUCUGCCGUGUCAGUCUCCUUGGACAGUCAUCCAGAUAUCAGCGUGAGGGUCGACUGACGUCCCUUCAGUGAAGACCUACUAUAACAGAGUCCUUUUCCUCAGGGGGUCUUGGCAAGCAAAGGCAGUAACAAUUUCAAGAAGCAAUGCUGCUCCUCUGAAAUGCAAGGUCCAGCAUCCAGUUCAGGUCGCCAGUUAAUGGCUGUUUCCAGCCAGGGUAUGCCCGGUGGGCUGCAAGGGUCCAGAGAGCGCAGUCCUGUUCAGCACAGGCUGUCCAAGUUCCCAAGCAGCUGCUAGCCGCAGGCAAGUGUAGCAAGCUCAAGUGAUAUCAACUCUUAGUGAUUAUCAGCUAAUUUGUGAUUUCAGCUCUUUAGCUUGCUAGGUGCCACAGCAGACGCAGGGAGAGAGAGGAGAAGGCUGUGUGAGGUUCCAAAGAAAUUCUUUAUUGGGGUCUUCUACGAAGGUUCUCAGUGACAGCUGAUCUUCUGCUGCACUGGGCAGAAGUAGGGGUUUAUAUAGGAUACCGGGGUUUUGGAGAUUGUCCAAUUGUAAGGGUCAAGGGAAAGUGACCUAUAGGCUUACAGAGAGAUAAGCAAGGGUCCGAAGGAGGAAGAGGGGGGCUUCUAAGGUCCAGUCAUCAUGACUUGGCCUUUCCUAUCUUAGGCUUCUGACCUCCAGGGAAGCCUUGCAGACCCUGGGCCUGCUACACAUUGCCCUCCCUGUGUGGCCUCCUGUGUGCCCUUUAGCCUCCAUGGGGUUGCCCAUAAUAGGGCUGGGGGGUGCGGCACAUACCUUGGUAAGGCAAAGGUCCGUGCUCAUCGGUAACGCGAAUGGGCAGGUGGCUGCAGUUAGGCCCUAUGUCAUUCCAGUUCCGACCAAUCUAUGGGGGCAGAAUGUAUUGGCUUCCUGGGGAGCAUGAAUUGGGACGGAUUUUUAGCUGGGGCCACUGCUUUGAAGGGUGAAAGAUAUCCCACGCUGCCUCUGUAGUGGCUGGUGGACAAACCCAUUUGGGUUCACCAGUGGCCCCUGACAGAAGAGAAACUGGCCACCCUUCAUGAAUUGGUUCAGUAACAACUUCAACAGGGACACACUGAGCCUUCUAUUAGCCCCUGGAAUACUCCUGUCUUUGUGAUAAAGAAAAAAUCUGGAAAGUGGAGGUUGUUACAGGACCUCCGGAAAAUAAAUGCAGCGAUGAAAAGCAGGGGGGCAUGGCAGACUGUUAUGCCCUCACCCACCAUGAUCCCUGCGGGAUGGGAGAUCUUGAUCAUUGACUCGCAGGACUGGUUUUUUUAUGAUUCCUUUGCAUCCUGAUGACAAAACAAAGUUUGCCUUCACAGUGCCUUCAGUCAACAGUGCUGAACCUGUGCAGAGAUAUCAAUGGAAGGUUUUGCCACAGGGCUGUGGCAAUAGCUCGGCUAUAUGUCAGUGGUAUGUGGCUCAGGCCUUGUCUGGAGUUUGCGAUCAGUUUCCUGAUGUGUGUUGUUAUCAUUAUAUGGAUGACAUCCUGGUGGCAGCACCCACCCAGGAUGAGUUGCUGAGGAUAUGGUCUCAGCUGUUUGCUGCUCUGCAUGCUUAUGGGCUGCAGGUGGCCCCGGAGAAGGUUCAACAGCACCCACCCUGGAAGUAUCUGGGGGUCAAAAUUCUUGACCGAACCAUUCAGCAUCAGGCAGUGCAAUUCUCAGAUUCUAUUCAGACCUUGAAUGAUGCCCAGAAAUUGAUGGGUGUCAUCAGCUGGUUGCAUCCUUACUUGGGACUAACCUGAAAACAAUUGUCCCCAUUGUAUGACACUAUAAAGGGGGACCCUGACCUGAGGUUGCCUCAGGAAUUGACUCCUGCAGCGCGACAAGUGCUGGAGGAGGUCCAAAAGGCUAUUUCUGCUUGUCAGGUUCAUUGAAUAGAUCCUUGCAUUGAUAUCACUGUCUUCAUUACUGUCCUAGGGUGAUAUUAUGAUGCUUGUAUCCCCAAUCGUCUGUUCUGUUUAUGCUGGAUAUUCUGUGCCUUCAAGAUUGGCUAAGAGAGAAUGUGGGGAGAAGAAGAAGCACAGAGUUUUCUUAUCAAGAACUAGACUCACUCCUCCACAGUCUGCUGCAACACUGUUGUUGUCUGGGCACAGAUGGGGCAGAACACCAUGCUCCUUUUGCAUUUGAGUUAGUUUAGCUAGCUGAGGCAGAGAAAUUCCCUGGACUAUUUUUCUUUCCCUUUUCUUGGAACCAUUUGAACCUGCUCCAGACCGGGACCCAGGGAAAGACCAAAAGCUCACACUUAGUAGCAUGCCGGGGCCUACUCUGCAGCCUUUCACAGCAUCGGAGGGACUGAUAACAGAGUGACCACCCUCCAGAGAGACUUUCUGAAUUUGUCAUCUCUUCAGAGCAGCGAAUGAGUUUUGUCAUCCGGUAUUGUUCAUUUUGUGUGCUGGGGAGCACUUGGCCCGUUAAAUAAACAGUUUUUUUCCACUA